CUCGCAUAUUUAAUAAUAGAAAAAGAUUAAUUGACAGAACAUCUGUCUAAUGAGAAAUUGAAAGGCAGGGAAAAAAAUUAAGAAUCUUCCUCAUUGAACCCGUGAAUUUUACUACUAAGAUGCAACAUUGAAUGCAAUCCACUUCAAAAUUGUUUUUAUAUAAGUACAUCUGUAGCCAAUUAACCACCUUUACACAGGAAAGAUGGGAAAUGAUGCACUCAAAUUUCAUUACAGGGGAAAGAACAAAUCCACCAAACAAAGGCAUGUAAGAAAACUAGCAAGGUGUAGGAGCAUCAGCUUGUUCAACUAACAGACACUAAUUUGCAGUAUUCCCUUUCUGUUAUAGACAUUAUGCCAUUUGAUUCUGGAAUCACGUCUCCUUCCAUCCCUUAUUUAGGUUAGAAGCCACAAGUCCGUGCUUGAAGCCACUGGUCUGUUACUCCAUAAUCAAUGGCGUACUUGAUGGAACAUAUAUAUAGUCAUAUAUGCUACCUGAACAACAAGCCACUAUUAGUGGUCUGAACAAAGAGGUUUAGUUUGUUAACAUUAAUCAGACAGGAUUCGCUGCAGGUCUAUUACAUCACCAUUCCUCCAUCAAUGGUAAGCACCUGCAACGCAGCAUCAACGAUCAAAAAACUCGCAAACAUAUAUUAAAAACUUAAUAUGUAUGUAAAGAAGAAGAGAUUGAAGAGCACAAACAAGUGCUAAAAAAAUUUGUAUUGCCAUAUGAGUUGUGGGACUCAACAUAUUGGUUAACAUAGUUGGCUCUUUACCUGCUGCAGGACAUAAAAUGAAUUGAUGCUGGCUUAUGAUAUAUAAAUCUAAAAGUGAGAAAACCAAGUCCUCAUUGUAAAGCAACAUGAAAUGAAUUGAUGCUGGCUUAUGAUAUUUAAAUCUAAAAGUGAGAAAACCAAGUCCUCACUGUAAAGCAACAUGAAAUACUAGUGAAUAACGAACCUGUCCAGUCAUGUAACUGGCUGCAGGAUUAAGAGCCAAUAACUUAUAAAUUGACUCAAGUAGUUAUAGGUAAAAGCUGAAGUUAUGGGUUGUUCUGAAUAGUGGUCAAUCAGUCUAGUUAUAUUGCUCGUUGGAAAUUUGUCAUAUUCCCAACUUGAGACGUCAAUUGGUUUGGUAUAUUGUGUGGUAGUAGAAAUACACUAUUCAAUCGCAUAUUCUUUUGGUGUUCCAUAUUGGUUUAAAGAGCUCCUUGCUGGGAGGCAUAUGUACUAAUGAUUACUUGAUAAUAGAACAGGGAAGGAAUUUUUACGGGUCUACAUUUGGAGCAAAAUAUGAACCAUAUCACAAGGACAAACUUGGGGUCUAUAACAAUCUAGUUGGUACUUAUGAUGCAUUCGGGAAGGACAAUGGGCAUCAGUCUGCAUGUGUUGGAUAAAUUAACUUGUAUGAAAUCAAUGCACUCACCUUGCCAAUUAGGCCAACAAACUAACAACGAAUUUACUUAAUUCAACUAAUUAGCAAUUUUUUCAUAACUAACUUACAGUAACUUACAGGUUUCAACACGAAACCCCUGUCAUCAAUCUUUUGCAAUGAAAUAUAACACUGAAAAAAAGAUAACAAAUCAAAAUUUAAUCACAAUAAACCAACCAUUCCCAAUACCCAAAUAAACCCGCACAAAAAUACCCAAAUAGCAAAGAGAUAAUAAGGGCCACAUAAAACCUAAAAAUCGAAAAAGUAGGGGAAAUCGCACCGUAAAAUCAAAAAAUACAGUUGUAAUAGGGAAAAUAAUAGGGGGUUUACCGAUUCGUAGUCGAGAUUCCUCUGAUUCGACCUCUCUGCUGCAGUUUUUUGAGCUCGAUUGGAGACUGUUUUGGAGAUAAGGGUUGAGAUGAUGCUCAAUUUUUGGAGACAAAUGGACGGGGCUGAAACAUGUGAGGAGAGAAACAAAAUAAGGAUAAAUAUCGAAGCACCGGAGAAUGAGGUCGGAGACGCCGAGAGCGAUGAGAUUUCUGGUUUGGGAGGAGCUAAGACCUUAUGUACGAUUUGGGAGGAGAGAAGAUAUGGGAGGUGGAACUGUGUUUCUGUUUUUUAAAC
rnacentral:lncRNA from 1 species